rnacentral:rRNA from 1 species
GUGAGGGGAGUGAAAUAGAACCUGAAACCGUGUACGUACAAGCAGUAGGAGCACCUUCGUGCUGUGACUGCGUACCUUUUGUAUAAUGGGUCAGCGACUUAUAUUCAGUGGCAAGGUUAACCAUCUAGGGGAGCCGUAGGGAAACCGAGUCUUAACUGGGCGUUCAGUCUCUGGAUAUAGACCCGAAACCAGGUGAUCUAGCCAUGGGCAGGUUGAAGGUUGAGUAACAUCAACUGGAGGACCGAACCGACUAAUGUUGAAAAAUUAGCGGAUGACUUGUGGCUAGGGGUGAAAGGCCAAUCAAACCUGGAGAUAGCUGGUUCUCCCCGAAAGCUAUUUAGGUAGCGCCUCGGACGAAUACUACUGGGGGUAGAGCACUGUUAAGGCUAGGGGGUCAUCCCGACUUACCAACCCUUUGCAAACUCCGAAUACCAGUAAGUACUAUCCGGGAGACACACGGCGGGUGCUAACGUCCGUCGUGGAGAGGGAAACAACCCAGACCGCCAGCUAAGGUCCCAAAUUACUACUAAGUGGGAAACGAUGUGGGAAGGCUCAGACAGCCAGGAUGUUGGCUUAGAAGCAGCCAUCAUUUAAAGAAAGCGUAAUAGCUCACUGGUCGAGUCGGCCUGCGCGGAAGAUGUAACGGGGCUAAGUAGUAAACCGAAGCUGCGGCAAUAUACUUUUGU